rnacentral:rRNA from 1 species
UACGUAGGGGGCAAGCGUUGUCCGGAAUCAUUGGGCGUAAAGAGCGUGUAGGCGGCCCGGUAAGUCCGCUGUGAAAGCCCCGGGCUCAACCUGGGAAUUGCGCUCGAGACUGGUCUGCUUGAGUUCGGGAGAGGAGAGUGGAAUUCCCAGUGUAGAGGUGAAAUUCGUAGAUAUUGGGAAGAACACCGGUGGCGAAGGCGGCUCUCUGGACCGAGACUGACGCUGAGGCGCGAAAGCGUGGGGAGCAAACAGG